GCACUUAGGUUCCGCCUGGAUCUGCACACUUGGUUCAUCUGGGCGUGCCCAGGGUACGUAACUUGCAACCUGGGGGUCCAAGGCAACUGAAAAACAACUCACCAUUUUAUUACACAAAGUUGAACCAGAUUGGGCUGGAUCUGCGGUUACAAUGUUUACCAGUUUAUUAUAAAGGAUACAACUAGAGGGGCGGGGCAGUGCCACCAAGAUGGCUGCGCCCGAGAAGAUGACAUUUCCAGAAAAACCAAGCCACAGAAAGUACAGGGCCGCCCUGAAGAAGGAGAAACGAAAGAAACGCCGGCAGGAACUUGCUCCACUGAGGGACUCAGGACUCUCACAGGAGGAGGAGGACACUUCUAUUGAAAAACAACAGCUAGAAAAGCUAUGGGGAAGAGAGAGGCAAAGAUUACAUGAGGAGUGAUUGCUGAGCAGAAGGCACAGGAAGAAUUCAGAAUAAAGAAGGAAAAGGAAGAGGCGGCUCGAAAACGGCAAGAACAAGAGCGAAAGUUAAAGGAACAAUGGGAAGAACAGCAGAGUAAAGAGAGAGAAGAGGAGGAACAGAAACGAGAGGAGAAGAAAGAAAAACAGGAAGCUGUCCAGAAGAUGCUGGAUCAGGCUGAAAAUGAGUUGGAAAAUGGCGCCACAUGGCAAAUCCCGGAACCCCGCCUUGGAUUUCAGAGUCAUGGAGAAGGAUCCAGCUAAUUGUUUCUUCUACAGUAAAACAGGAGCUUGUAGAUUUGGAGAUAGAUGUUCACGUAAACAUAAUUUCCCAACAUCCAGUCCUACCCUUCUUAUUAAGAACAUGUUUACAGCGUUUGGAAUGGAGCAAUGCAGGAGGGAUGACUAUGACCCCGACGCAAGCCUGGAGUACAGCAAGGAAGAAACCUACCAACAGUUCCUAGAUUUCUAUGAGAAUGUGCUGCCCGAGUUCAAGAACGUGGGGAGAGGCCGGGCACGGUGGUUCAGGCCUGUAAUCCCAACACUUUGGGAGACUGAGGCGGGUGGAUCACGAGGUCAAGAGAUAGAGACCAACUGGGGGAAUUAA